rnacentral:sRNA from 1 species
UUUUUCUUUUCAGGGUGGGAUGGGCGCUGCUCUAUUAACUCAGCAAGACAAAGUGAAGAGUAUAUUGACAACUCUAGUCAAUGGCUUGGAGGUGCCAGUUACUUGUAAAAUUCGUGUGCUUCCGGAUAUACAAGAGACAGUCGCCUUGGCAAAGCUGAUUGAGUCCACGGGAGUGUCUGCAAUAGGUGUUCACGGGAGGACCAAGUCCGAGAGGUCCAGGGAUCCAAACCGCGAUGA